rnacentral:lncRNA from 1 species
AAUCUUCGUCUGGCCCCGCCAGGAAUCUUCGGACGGAGAUCCCCUGAAUUAUGCUUAGAAGUCGUGCUCUCGUGAGCACUCUUGGAAGGACCCAGACGAUCCUUCACCGAAACACGAGGCAGUGACGAGCUAACAGCCAUCGCCUGCCCUUCUGGUGUACCAUCCCUACUCCUCAUCAUCUUCCAAAGUAGGUUAAACGAUUGUGAUUGAAAAUUUUAAUGACACUAGAACUCAAAACCCCUCCUUCUAGCGCCAAUGUUAACGCCAGGAUCUUUCUCCACAUUCCAAUCACGUAAGACGUCCUGAUCCUGCACAGUAAACACAGUCAACACCGAAAGCUUGACGGCGGUUCCGUCGGGGGAUAGCUCAGGCGUGAGAAUUAG